rnacentral:rRNA from 1 species
CCCUUAGAUGUCCGGGGCCGCACGCGCGCUACACUGAAGGAAUCAGCGUGGCUUUCUCCCUGACCCGAAAGGGUUGGGAAACCCGUUGAAUCUCCUUCGUGAUAGGGAUUGGGGCUUGAAAUUGUUCCCCAUGAACGAGGAAUUCCCAGUAAGCGCGAGUCAUAAGCUCGCGUUGAUUACGUCCCUGCCCUUUGUACACACCGCCCGUCGCUACUACCGAUUGAGUGGUCCGGUGAGGCUUUGGGAUCUGAGCAAAAAGAGCGUUUCGCUCGUUUGGCUCGGAAAACUCAGUCGAACCUUAUCAUUUAGAGGAAGGAGAAGUCGUAACA